AACCUUUACACUGCACGACAGUGCGAUAGGGGGACUCCGAGUGUGAGGGCAUAUAGCCCUCGCUUUUCUGUACCGUAAGGUGGUACAGGAACAAGGACUGGGCAAGACCGGUGCCAGCCGCCGCGGUAAUACCGGCAGUCCGAGUGAUGGCCGAUAUUAUUGGGCCUAAAGCGUCCGUAGCUUGCUGUGUAAGUCCAUUGGGAAAUCGACCAGCUCAACUGGUCGGCGUCCGGUGGAAACUACACAGCUUGGGGCCGAGAGACUCAACGGGUACGUCCGGGGUAGGAGUGAAAUCCUGUAAUCCUGGACGGACCACCAAUGGGGAAUCCACGUUGAGAGACCGGACCCGACAGUGAGGGACGAAAGCCAGGGUCUCGAACCGGAUUAGAUACCCGGGUAGUCCUGGCUGUAAACAAUGCUCGCUAGGUAUGUCACGCGCCAUGAGCACGUGAUGUGCCGUAGUGAAGACGAUAAGCGAGUCGCCUGGGAAGUACGUCCGCAAGGAUGAAACUUAA
rnacentral:rRNA from 1 species